GAUGAACGCUGGCGGCGUGCCUAAUACAUGCAAGUCGAGCGAACGGACGAGAAGCUUGCUUCUCUGAUGUUAGCGGCGGACGGGUGAGUAACACGUGGAUAACCUACCUAUAAGACUGGGAUAACUUCGGGAAACCGGAGCUAAUACCGGAUAAUAUUUUGAACCGCAUGGUUCAAAAGUGAAAGACGGUCUUGCUGUCACUUAUAGAUGGAUCCGCGCUGCAUUAGCUAGUUGGUAAGGUAACGGCUUACCAAGGCAACGAUGCAUAGCCGACCUGAGAGGGUGAUCGGCCACACUGGAACUGAGACACGGUCCAGACUCCUACGGGAGGCAGCAGUAGGGAAUCUUCCGCAAUGGGCGAAAGCCUGACGGAGCAACGCCGCGUGAGUGAUGAAGGUCUUCGGAUCGUAAAACUCUGUUAUUAGGGAAGAACAUAUGUGUAAGUAACUGUGCACAUCUUGACGGUACCUAAUCAGAAAGCCACGGCUAACUACGUGCCAGCAGCCGCGGUAAUACGUAGGUGGCAAGCGUUAUCCGGAAUUAUUGGGCGUAAAGCGCGCGUAGGCGGUUUUUUAAGUCUGAUGUGAAAGCCCACGGCUCAACCGUGGAGGGUCAUUGGAAACUGGAAAACUUGAGUGCAGAAGAGGAAAGUGGAAUUCCAUGUGUAGCGGUGAAAUGCGCAGAGAUAUGGAGGAACACCAGUGGCGAAGGCGACUUUCUGGUCUGCAACUGACGCUGAUGUGCGAAAGCGUGGGGAUCAAACAGGAUUAGAUACCCUGGUAGUCCACGCCGUAAACGAUGAGUGCUAAGUGUUAGGGGGUUUCCGCCCCUUAGUGCUGCAGCUAACGCAUUAAGCACUCCGCCUGGGGAGUACGACCGCAAGGUUGAAACUCAAAGGAAUUGACGGGGACCCGCACAAGCGGUGGAGCAUGUGGUUUAAUUCGAAGCAACGCGAAGAACCUUACCAAAUCUUGACAUCCUUUGACAACUCUAGAGAUAGAGCCUUCCCCUUCGGGGGACAAAGUGACAGGUGGUGCAUGGUUGUCGUCAGCUCGUGUCGUGAGAUGUUGGGUUAAGUCCCGCAACAAGCGCAACCCUUAAGCUUAGUUGCCAUCAUUAAGUUGGGCACUCUAAGUUGACUGCCGGUGACAAACCGGAGGAAGGUGGGGAUGACGUCAAAUCAUCAUGCCCCUUAUGAUUUGGGCUACACACGUGCUACAAUGGACAAUACAAAGGGCAGCGAAGCCGCGAGGUCAAGCAAAUCCCAUAAAGUUGUUCUCAGUUCGGAUUGUAGUCUGCAACUCGACUACAUGAAGCUGGAAUCGCUAGUAAUCGUAGAUCAGCAUGCUACGGUGAAUACGUUCCCGGGUCU
rnacentral:rRNA from 1 species